GCGCUUGAAGAGGGGCCCGCGCCUGAUUAGCUAGUUGGUAGGGUAACGGCCUACCAAGGCAACGAUCAGUAUCCGGCCUGAGAGGGCGGACGGACACACUGGGACUGAGACACGGCCCAG
rnacentral:rRNA from 1 species